rnacentral:rRNA from 1 species
AGGACGAACGCUGGCGGCGUGCUUAACACAUGCAAGUCGAGCGGAAAGGCCCUUCGGGGUACUCGAGCGGCGAACGGGUGAGUAACACGUGAGUAAUCUGCCCCUAGCUCUGGGAUAGCUCCGGGAAACCGGGAUUAAUACCGGAUACGACCACUUUAGACAUCUGUUGUGGUGGAAAGAAUUUUGGCUAGGGAUGAGCUCGCGGCCUAUCAGCUUGUUGGUGGGGUAAUGGCCUACCAAGGCGACGACGGGUAGCCGGCCUGAGAGGGCGACCGGCCACACUGGGACUGAGACACGGCCCAGACUCCUACGGGAGGCAGCAGUGGGGAAUAUUGCGCAAUGGGCGAAAGCCUGACGCAGCGACGCCGCGUGGGGGAUGAAGGCCUUCGGGUUGUAAACCCCUUUCAGCAGGGACGAAGCGAAAGUGACGGUACCUGCAGAAGAAGCGCCGGCUAACUACGUGCCAGCAGCCGC